rnacentral:rRNA from 1 species
GACGAACGCUGGCGGCGUGCCUAAUACAUGCAAGUUGAGCGAUGAAGAUUGGUGCUUGCACCAAUUUGAAGAGCAGCGAACGGGUGAGUAACGCGUGGGGAAUCUGCCUUUGAGCGGGGGACAACAUUUGGAAACGAAUGCUAAUACCGCAUAACAACUUUAAACAUAAGUUUUAAGUUUGAAAGAUGCAAUUGCAUCACUCAAAGAUGAUCCCGCGUUGUAUUAGCUAGUUGGUGAGGUAAAGGCUCACCAAGGCGAUGAUACAUAGCCGACCUGAGAGGGUGAUCGGCCACAUUGGGACUGAGACACGGCCCAAACGCCUACGGGAGGCAGCAGUAGGGAAUCUUCGGAAAUGGACGAAAGUCUGACCGAGCAACGCCGCGUGAGGGAAGAAGGGUGUCGGAUCGUAAAACUCUGUUGGUAGAGAAGAACGUUGGUGAGAGUGGAAAGCUCAUCAAGUGACGGUAACUACCCAGAAAGGGACGGCUAACUACGUG